AAUGAACGCUGGCGGCAGGCCUAACACAUGCAAGUCGAACGAGUGGCGGACGGGAGAGUAUCGUCUGGGAAACUGCCUGAUGGAGGGGGAUACCUACUGGAAACGGUAGCUAAUACCGCAUAUCAUCGGGUGUGCCCAGACGGGAUUAGCUUUUAGGUGGGGUAACGGCUCACCUAGGCGACGACCCCUAGCGGGUCUGAGAGGAUGACCAGCCACACUGGAACUGAGACACGGCCCAGACUCCUCCGUGAGGCAGCAGGGGGGAAUAUGGCAAAAUGGGCGCAAGCCUGAUGCAGCCAUGCCGCGUGUGUGAAGAAGGCUUUCGGGUUGUAAAGCACUUUCAGCGGGGAGGCGUUACCCGCAGAAGAAGCACCGGCUAACUCCGUGCCAGCAGCCGCGGUAAUUC
rnacentral:rRNA from 1 species